UGUCAAUUGAGGAAAAUCCAUAAGAACUUCAGCCAUUUCAUUUCCUCUCUCUCCACAACCAACAUACACCACAGUAUCAGAAUUUGAAUAUUUAGAGAGAGCUUGACUAAUGACUGUUUUUCCACAACCAAAUGCUCCAGGAAUGGCACAUGUCCCACCAAGAACGGACGGGAAGAGUGCAUCAAGAACACGCUGCCCGGUCAAAAGAGGGGUAUCAGCUGCAAGCUUCGAUGCAACUGGUCUAGGAGUACGCACAGGCCAAGUCUGAAGCAUGGUAAAUUGCUUUUUAACUCCUUGAAACUCGAGCUCUAAAACAGUAUCCUUCAAUGAAUAUUGGCCAGGCGCUGCAAUAUAGGUAAUUUUCCCCAUAGCAUCAGGAGGAAGUGCAAUGUGGUGCUCCAUUAGACUAUUCUCGAAGACAGUUGCAUAUAA
rnacentral:misc_RNA from 1 species